AACGAACGCUGGCGGCAGGCUUAACACAUGCAAGUCGAACGCCCCGCAAGGGGAGUGGCGCACGGGUGAGUAACGCGUGGGAAUAUACCAAUCGGUGGGGAAUAACUCCGGGAAACUGGAGCUAAUACCGCAUACGCCCUUCGGGGGAAAGAUUUAUCGCCGAUUGAUUAGCCCGCGUGAGAUUAGGUAGUUGGUGGGGUAAUGGCCUACCAAGCCGACGAUCUCUAGCUGGUCUGAGAGGAUGAUCAGCCACACUGGAACUGAGACACGGUCCAGACUACUACGGGAGGCAGCAGUGGGGAAUAUUGGACAAUGGGCGAAAGCCUGAUCCAGCCAUGCCGCGUGAAUGAUGAAGGCUUUAGGGUUGUAAAGUUCUUUCACCGAUGAAGAUAAUGACGGUAGUCGGAGAAGAAGCCCCGGCUAACUUCGUGCCAGCCGCCGCGGUAA
rnacentral:rRNA from 1 species